rnacentral:lncRNA from 1 species
CUUGACUAAAGUUUGUUAACAGUUUAGAUGUUACAGUACUGCAUGACAAACUCAGGUAUAGUCAUUUCUGUUCAAGAUAAGUAUUUUUAUGUUGAUAUAAUAUUUUUUUCAUACUGUAAUAUAAGCAGAUAUUGUGAACAAAGCAGCAUGUUACAAAUUGUAUGCAUGAAAGGUGCUUUUCUAGAUUUACAUUCAUCGAAAACACCACCAAAAAAUUAAUGCAUAUUGCGUCUUGUGUAUUGUCUGCUAGUAAAUCAAUAUUUUUGUUUGUUUAUUUAAAAAAAUCCAUUAAAAGUUAAAAGUUAAAGUCAUAAGAUACCUCAAAUUAAAAAAAUCAUGCAUAUGUUUUUGAUUAACUAAAUGGAUAGUUUUCAUUAUACAACUGAUGUAUAUAUACUUUUUUCUGAGGGAAAAUUCUUCAAUUUGUCCACAUUUAGAAAAGUUUACUGAUUUUUAAUUGCUUGCUUCCAGGAAGCAAUUCGCCGACAUAUUUUCCGUAUGCAUAGUGACCUGAGCAUAACCCUUCUCGUAAAAAUCCGGUGAUCGCAAUACGCAUGGAUCUGUCAUUAAAAUAAACAAUUAUCUGACGGUUCAUGUUAAACACGUGCUCAAUACCCAUGCUUUUUGUUAUUGUUUGUUACUAUAAGGUGACAUCGGUAAACUUCGGCUGUAAAACACGGCAUUUAAUGAGCAGCCAUAUUUGUUAAAUCAUACCAGACAGAGAGAGAAAAAAAAAUGACGAUUAUACGAUAUAUUUGCCGUUAAAAAAUGACAAAAUCGUGCACAGAGUUCUAAGUUUAUGAUAUAUACAUGCAUUGGUUCAAGAAUUGGAUAAACAUUAUUUUUCACCACUCAUUAUUUUUCACCACUCACUGGUUUCAUAUGACUUUAAAAUCUACAUGAAUAUACUUGUCGAGUAUAUCAAAACUUCAUAAUGCUAACAUUUAUUCAUCACAUGAGAAAUACUCAACUAUCCUUGAUUUCGGUUUAAGUUUCGUUUUCGGAUUUCUCACUGUUUACGGUCGUAUUGUUGGCUACAAGUGCUUCCAUUCGAUACUUUUGAACUGUCGUUGAUAGUUGUCAGUGGGUAAUCAUACAUGUACCACAUCUCCUUACGCUUAUAUUGGUACAUGAUCGGAGUCGAACCUUCACGGAAAACCCAAUGCAUCGGAACUUUAUGAAAACUAAGAAAAAGUGGAAUAGAAAAUGGGGGAAAUGUAGGUUUUUUACCAUUUUUUUUCUAUAGCAUCAUCAGAUUUAAAUGUAAUUUCAGUAAUUGAUGGGGUAAAUUGGGUGACAGCCGUCCUUUAUUCGCGCGAUGCUGAAUGAUUAAAGUAAAAUUCCUUUUAAAAUUUUUUUUAACAAAAAUAAUUUGUAAGCACAUGUUGAUCAUUUAGAUGCUAUUAUAGUGCUACACCAAUGUAUUUCCUUUGAACCUAUUUAUCGUUCAACGGAGAUGUGUCGCAUACCUUCAAGAAAUAACUACAAAAUAGCUUUGAAAAGAAAUUGAAAUUAAGAUAUCUAAUCUAGUUCUAUUUAUCUAAACAUGUGUUCAAAGUGUUUUAAAGCUUACAGUUUUCUGUUCGGUAUGUAUUUCCAGAUUAUCUACUUACCAUCCAUUUUUUAAGUCAUUGCCUGCACCAAUUCAAUAAUGUGACAGUUGUUUUGAAUGAUGUGUUAGAGAUUUGGACUUUGCCAUUUGAAUUUUCGUAAGAGUUCGGAGUAUUUUGUUAUUGUUCUUUUUUCACUUUAUUUUAGUUUAGUCGCAGUAGCAUGCAUAUAUCAUUUUCCUUUAUGGAAACGGUCUCUGGUUAUAAGUGUUCAGAACAUUUUGGUUUUAUAAUACAGGUAUUGAUAGUAACAUAAUUAACGAUAUCGGUUUAACUGAACCUGAUACGAAUUCCGACAAUUAUUGACGUCUUUUCAAUGGUACUCGAGACUAGAUUUACAACAAUUUAAUUAAACUUCCUGAUUUCAAAUGCCCUUAAAUUUCGUAUUUGAUUUUGUCUUUCAUCUACAAUUGUAGCGCCACUUAGGAGUCUUUUGUAGCAGAAAAGUCGUAAAGGAAAUGAAGAUUACCACCAUCUUUUACUUUAUUUCAGAUAAUGAUACAUACUGCUGCAGUUAUAACAGCUUUGUUUGGCGUUUUGUAUUGGUUUACUUCAAAACAGAAUCCAGAUGACGCACUUAAUAUCAAUGUUAAUUCAACAUAUGACUAUAUUGUUGGCAAGUUAUUUAAGAUUUUUUUUAAUUUUUAUUUCAAUCGUAUUCUUUAAGUGUAUUGCACAUUUAAAUUUCCUAAUCCUUUAAUUUCGUAAAGGAACUUAACAUAACAUGUCUAUCUUUCGACUCUUUAUAUACAUAUAAUUACAUAUUUCUAAUGUACUAGUAUUUAGAAUGUAUGUUCAUAAACAUUUUGUAGAAAUGUUUCGUCUGGCCGUUCGAACAGCGGUAUACUACUGUUGUCUUUUUUUUUUACAUUUUGUAACUCUUUGGUAUUCAUUUGAAAUAAUAAAAAUCUGUUUUUUAGGGUGCCCAUACUUUCAAGCAAACAUUAAAUAUUAGUUGAAACAUCUCCUGUAAGAAUAUUGGUAUGGUACCAGAAGCAGUAUCUUACUUUCUUCUUAUAUCUAUAGUUGGGUCAGGUUCAGCUGGAGCUGUCAUAGCUAACAGACUUUCAGAAGACAGUGAUGUAUCGGUAUUGUUACUUGAAACUGGUGGAUCUGAACUAAACAAUGACAAUAUACGUGUUCCAUUAAAAGUUGGUAGUUUACAAAUGUCUAAUGAAGACUGGGCGUAUUAUACAGUACCACAAAAAUACAGUCAUCGAGCGAUGGUUGAUCAGGUA